rfam:Gossypium arboreum cultivar AKA8401 contig_3754_1, whole genome shotgun sequence.
AAACCAGGAUGUGGGCAUCUUUAAACCAACGUCUUAAACCAUUCCCAAGCUUCGAGAAAACUUUCUCCUUCUAGUUGUUUAAACAUGACAAUCUCCUUCUUGAGUUG